UACGUAGGGUGCGAGCGUUGUCCGGAAUUAUUGGGCGUAAAGGGCUCGUAGGCGGUUUGUCGCGUCGGGAGUGAAAACCAGGUGCUUAACACCUGGCUUGCUUUCGAUACGGGCAGACUAGAGGUAUGCAGGGGAGAACGGAAUUCCUGGUGUAGCGGUGAAAUGCGCAGAUAUCAGGAGGAACACCGGUGGCGAAGGCGGUUCUCUGGGCAUGACCUGACGCUGAGGCGCGAAAGCCAGGGGAGCAAACGGG
rnacentral:rRNA from 1 species